rnacentral:lncRNA from 1 species
CCGUAAUUUUCCACAGUUAGCACCUUAAAACGUCAGGUUUGUUGAUUGGACUCAGAAAUACUACACUCAGCUUCACACCAAGGCAACGUUGGAUACAAUACAGGUGUUGUACUGAUUUACCUACGGUUGUAUAAAAUACUGGUAGUACAACUCUCUAAUGUAAACAAGCACAAAGUCAUUACUGGAAGCAAGGCAACAGGAAGAACUGCCCCAGAAACUUUAUUCCAAGAGCUCCUGCGUUUCUGACAGCACGGUGGGGUAAGCAAACCAUCUGCUUUCAUCUCCCUGGCCCCUGAGCCCUUCUCAGGCUGAAGGCUCCCCUACUAGGAAGCCCAGAGGAGGCUCCUUUUUCAGUCCUUCCUCGAGGGAGCAGAGCCAGGCAGAGCUGCUUGGCCAAAAUAGAACUUUCUGGCUGGUGUCCGUGCUCAGAAGAUAUCACAACCACUGCGCUGCCAAACGUGAGGAUGGCUGAAUGUGAACAGGGACUGAUGGAAGGUGUUGGGAGCAACCACGACAGCAGCGGGCAUUAGAAAGACUGAAUGCUUCAUUCCCUCCUGUGAAAACUGUGAGGAAUUUAACCCCAAAAGAUGGUGGUAAGACAAGGAGCUGCCCCAAUUAGCAAUCUCCUCCAGCACUUACCCUGCAGUCAAAUCCAAGAACAUCUGUUUAAACCCACACUGGAUAGCUGCCAGAUUAGUGGAAAGGAUAUGGUAUAAAGAAGACUUUUGUUUCCUCAGAGCAAGGAGAAAAAAUAAGUUACAAG